GGGGGUUAUCUGGUUGAGGAGAGUUGGAGUUUGUUGGCUAUGCUGACAAAAGGAGUCAGUGCUGUGAGGGACUGCCUGUGAGAAAUCACUGAGAAGAUGAAUGGCAAGUGGACAAGUUUGUGGUGAAAGUUAAAACACUUUAAAGGACAUAUAAUCUGCUGUGCUUUUCAAAAUCCCCAAAUAGGUUUAACACUGUGCCUCUGCUGCUGUAGCCAAUAUGUUGCUGUGAAAACUCUUGUUAUCAGUGUUGCUGUUUGUCUUGGAACUGCAGUUUUCCAUGAACGAAAGCCUGGUUUAGUCAAGAUAAGUGACCCAAACCAUACUAGAUUGCCAGCAUUCUUGAGGGCCCAGAUCCUCACCCAUAGCACAGCAAGGUGCAGAAUGCAGCCGCUCUUCCCUGACUCACCUUUCUCUAUUCCUCUCCUGUAUCCAGAGAGCUGAUCAAGGACCUGGUCUUGUUUGCUGCAGUCAGGAGCAGCCUUCCUAAUGGUUUCCUGGCUGACUGGAAAGUAAUUCUCUGAAGAGGUGGAAGAGCACGAUGCUGCUGUGCACCGGUGUCUGGCUGCUGCCCUGCUGGAGAUCCAUGAGCAACAACAGCACGGCAAGUCCUCUUUCUUCUUUCCUGACAGCACCACAGUACCUGGAUCUUAAUCAGUCAGUGUCAGACAGUGUCACAGCUCUGAGCGCUGCUCCGAGCAAAGCACAGCACCGACGCCUCCCUGCUGCUGUAGCUUAGGUUACCAUUACCAGCCUGAGCUGCCUGAUGUAACACUCCUGUGCUCCAGGCAGGCUGAAACCCUCUCAAGUGUUGGCACCAACACGUGUUCAGAUCAAGGCACCUCCAGCCCUGGGCGUGGUGGUGUCUGUGCUCCCGUGGCUCUGUCAGAGGCACCAGGGCUGCACUGCUGGUGGCAGCACAGGUGGGAAGCAGAGCUGCUGGACAGGGGUGUGAUGAAAGGAAAAAUGAUUGCUGGGGUCACUGGUAUCAUUUUAGUCAUACAUGUUAUAGGGACGGAUGAAUUUGUGCAUAUUUUAUAUGAAAACAUUACAUGCCUCUUGGGCUAUCUGGUUUGUAACUUUUGACUGGCAUGGUUUAAAUCAGAAAGGAUGGAGGGCAAGCCUACCUAACAGGAAAUGGUGACAUAAUAUUUUUAGCAGAAACAAUCAAAUAGCUGACUAGAGGGAAUAAUUGUAGCUCCAUCAAAGUUAGAGUGGUUUACUGUUUCCAGCAGUGAAUCUGGCAUCAAAGGGAAUCCUAAACCUGAAAUCCUUGGAAAGAAGUGGGUUAUCAGCAAAUACAAAUUGAUUCAUGUAGAGAACAAAGACAACAUUUUGUGAGUGGGACAGCCUGGCUUUUCCCAGCUCAGUGACAGCUGUCCCUUCCUGGAGCAUGGAGUGGUUAAGCUUGGCCUUUCACCAUGUUAACACAUUUUCCUCAAGGCCCUGUACCUUCAAGGUAGGA